GCGGCUGUAGUUUAAAUGGUAAAACACUUUCUUACAUAUUUGAUAUAAAACUAUUCUAAUCAAAAAGUUAAGAGUUGUAGGUUCAACUCCUACCAGUUGCA
rfam:Entamoeba histolytica HM-1:IMSS scf_1104750517971 genomic scaffold, whole genome shotgun sequence.